CUCUCUCAAAGAACAGCGGAUCAUUUAUGGAUGAUUCUAUUUCCGUCCCUCGAGCUUUUAUACAAACGCUAAGCCUCUUACUGGGCUUCGGAUGAGCGGGUAUCCGCCUGCAUAAGAAUCCUGAAACGUAUCGUUGUGUCGGUGUGGCGAUCGCAAGGCUGUCAUUGAACACUUGACCACGGGCGAAUCGGGGAACUGACUCGCCGACCUUUCCAUCCAGGGACGACCGGAAUUCGCGAGUCACCUGCGAUGAUCUGACCCCAACGCAUGUGUGAUCGCGAUGUUUGUUCGUUUGCUGAUCAAUUGGCGAGAAAACGAGGAUUGAAAGGGGGGGGACCGGAAAUUCUAUUUUCACAAAAUUCGUGGAAGUCCGACCAAGCAUCUCCCGCAGAAGAGGAGGAAUCGAAUUGAACUUCGGGCUAAUUUAUUCCGGAAGGACGAAAUCGCUUCCUUUUUCGCCUCGCGAAAUAUGCGGUGUGCCGCCGAUCCUAACCGGCGACUCGGCUCGCCAGUUCGUACGCCGUUCCGAUGGGGUUCAGGAUCGGGUGAGGAAGUUUACGUUCCCGUUUAAAUCCUGUUUGGCUCAAGUCCCCGUGGGGAUCGUCGACCGCUACCGCCUUCGCCCUGGCACUCGACGAGGAACCGUAAACACCGAGCUUACCCAGCGGCGUAUCGAACCCAACGCUUUGGAGGAAAUUGGAAAUAAGAGUAAGGAUAUCGUCGUCGUUGUCGUGUUUUUUCCUCACAGUUUGAUUCAUACCUUCGAUUAUCGGCUUCACUUUCGGCGAGCGAUGCCGCUCCUCGACGAUUACCUGAUACAGUAAUGAGAUAUGCAGAAAUCGGUAACAAUUUCGUUCAAAGGAAAUAAUACUUACGGAACCGCGACGGAGCCGCAGUCGCAACGGCGACGAGAAUGCAGAAAAAAAUCAGAGCUACUUUCAUCGCGACGCAAUCGUAUUUGGAAACUGACCGUUGACAACAAUUCGGAGGAUUUAUAAAGCGCUUGCAGUCCAGCACCGAAAUAAGUGGGAGUUUCCAAUUUUCAAAUAGUACUCGUUACGACGAACACCUCGGGGUGAAUUUCCUAAACGAUUCCAUGAAAUAUUUUCAUCUUUUUACAAUCUAUAAAUCGGAGCGAGGGAUCUCUUUAUUUUCAUUCGAAUCGCCGCGCACGGUGACAAACGAUUUUUUCGACGCCUUGAAGAAGAAACGCACACUCACGUAUCCACCGGUGUAUCAACUGAUUUAUUCAUAAUUGUUAUUUGGCC
rnacentral:misc_RNA from 1 species